rnacentral:ncRNA from 1 species
AAAAAAUCGAUGAGCAGGAAUAGUAAAUAUCGCAUUAGGUUAAAGCGAGCUUGGGAUGGUGGAAGCCAAGUACUGACGGCGUUAUUGAAUGGGCCUGCGAGAUGGCGUGUGAAAUAAAAGUAGCAUUGCCCGGUAGUCUACCGUUAAAAUGACAGGGUAUCGAGAAAUCCGUACCUUCAAUGAGAGGUUUUGUACUUAGGUGGCAAAGCGAAAUGAAAGCAUUUCGUCCUUAGUGGAUGAGAUGCUUUUUUUAACCACAUAAGUAUAAAACAAUUUGGGUGGCACCACGAAGUCACUUCGUCCCAUUG